GCUGACGAGUGGCGAACGGGUGAGUAAUGUAUCGGAACGUACCAUUCAGUGGGGGAUAACGUAGCGAAAGUUACGCUAAUACCGCAUAUUCUGUGCGCAGGAAAGCAGGGGACCUUCGGGCCUUGCGCUGAUUGAGCGGCCGAUAUCAGAUUAGCUAGUUGGUGGGGUAAAAGCUCACCAAGGCGACGAUCUGUAGCGGGUCUGAGAGGAUGAUCCGCCACACUGGAACUGAGGCACGGUCCAGACUCCUACGGGAGGCAGCAGUGGGGAAUUUUGGACAAUGGGGGCAACCCUGAUCCAGCCAUGCCGCGUGAGUGAAGAAGGCCUUCGGGUUGUAAAGCUCUUUCGGCCGGGAAAAAAUCGCAUGGGUUAAUACCCUGUGUGGAUGAUGGUACCGGAAUAAGAAGCACCGGCUAACUACGUGCCAGCAGCCGCGGUAAUACGUAGGGUGCGAGCGUUAAUCGGAAUUACUGGGCGUAAAGCGUGCGCAGGCGGUUUUGUAAGACAGGCGUGAAAUCCCCGGGCUCAACCUGGGAACUGCGCUUGUGACUGCAAGGCUAGAGUAUGGCAGAGGGGGGUGGAAUUCCACGUGUAGCAGUGAAAUGCGUAGAGAUGUGGAGGAACACCAAUGGCGAAGACAGCCCCCUGGGCCAAUACUGACGCUCAUGCACGAAGGCGUGGGUAGCAAACAGGAUUAGAUACCCUGGUAGUCCACGCCCUAAACGAUGUCAACUAGGUGUUGGGAGGGUAAAACCUUUUAGUACCGGAGCUAACGCGUGAAGUUGACCGCCUGGGGAGUACGGACGCAAGGUUAAAACUCAAGGGAAUUGACGGGGACCCGCACAAGCGGUGGAUGAUGUGGAUUAAUUCGAUGCAACGCGAAAAACCUUACCUACCCUUGACAUGUCCAGGAGCCUGAAGAGAUUUGGGUGUGCCCGAAAGGGAACUGGAACACAGGUGCUGGAUGGCUGUCGUCAGCUCGUGUCGUGAGAUGUUGGGUUAAGUCCCGCAACGAGCGCAACCCUUGUCGUUAAUUGCCAUCAUUCAGUUGGGCACUUUAACGAGACUGCCGGUGACAAACCGGAGGAAGGUGGGGAUGACGUCAAGUCCUCAUGGCCCUUAAGGGUAGGGCUUCACACGUCAUACAAUGGUCGGUACAAAGGGUUGCCAACCCGCGAGGGGGAGCCAAUCCCAGAAAGCCGAUCGUAGUCCGGAUUGCAGGCUGCAACUCGCCUGCAUGAAGUCGGAAUCGCUAGUAAUCGUGGAUCAGCAUGUCACGGUGAAUACGUUCCCGGGUCUUGUACACACCGCCCGUCACACCAUGGGAGCGGGUUCCGCCAGAAGUAGGUAGCCUAACCGCAAGGGGGGCGCUUACCACGGCGGGGUUCGUGACUGGGGUGAAGUCGGAACAAGGUA
rnacentral:rRNA from 1 species